UACGGGGGGAGCAAGCGUUGUUCGGAUUUACUGGGCGUAAAGGGCGGGUAGGCGGCCACCGCAAGUCAGUUGUGAAAUCUCUGGGCUUAACCCAGAAAGGUCAACUGAUACUGCGGGGCUAGAGUGCAGAAGGGGCAACUGGAAUUCUCGGUGUAGCGGUGAAAUGCGUAGAUAUCGAGAGGAACACCUGCGGCGAAGGCGGGUUGCUGGGACGGUACUGACGCUGAGACGCGAAAGCGUGGGGAGCAAACAGG
rnacentral:rRNA from 1 species